GUUUGAGUAGUUUAAUAUAUAAAAUAUGGUAUUGAAGUUACUAGGAUAGGAUUUUUUCUCUCAAACA
rnacentral:tRNA from 1 species